AGGAGGGGGGGAGAGCGACGAAAAUUUCAGCCACAAGACCGCGCUUUCAGCCGUCAGUCCGGAGCAUGAGGCUGGAGACGCCGCUUCAGGUCCCGGAGCUUGGUGUCUGGUAAUGAUCUCACCCAGCAGACUGAGAGCUCUCUGGCCGAGCGGAGCGCAGCCGAGCAAGAGGAGAGAGGAGGAGCGACAUCGCCUCCCCCUGGCAGCAAACGAGCGCAACGCUGCUCCUUCUCCCCAUAAAAAAAAAAAUAAAAAAAAUACUCCCUCCUCCUCUUUAA